GUGCCCUUUUAAGGUGUUUUAAAAGUGUUAACAUGGAAGGGGGUAAAACAGUCCCUGUAAAACCCAGAGAAAAAUUGGAGAACUCUUCUUUGGAUCCGUUCUGGAUUCCCAGCU
rnacentral:snoRNA from 1 species